rnacentral:rRNA from 1 species
AGAGUUUGAUUAUGGCUCAGGAUGAACGCUGACAGAAUGCUUAACACAUGCAAGUCGACUCGAGUCUUCGGACUUGGGUGGCGCACGGGUGAGUAACGCGUAAAGAACUUGCCUCUUAGACCGGGACAACAUCUGGAAACGGAUGCUAAUACCGGAUAUUAUGGUUUUUUCGCAUGGAGGAAUCAUGAAAGCUAGAUGCGCUAAGAGAGAGCUUUGCGUCCCAUUAGCUAGUUGGUGAGGUAACGGCCCACCAAGGCAAUGAUGGGUAGCCGGCCUGAGAGGGUGAACGGCCACAAGGGGACUGAGACACGGCCCUUACUCCUACGGGAGGCAGCAGUGGGGAAUAUUGGACAAUGGACCACAAGUCUGAUCCAAGCAAUUCUGUGUGCACGAUGUACGUUUUCGGAAUAGUAAAGUGCUUUCAGUCGGGAAGAAGUCAGUGACGGUACCGACAGAAGAAGCGACGGCUAAAUACGUGCCAGCCGCGGC